rnacentral:rRNA from 1 species
UGGGGGAUAUUGCACAAUGGGGGAAACCCUGAUGCAGCGACGCCGCGUGAGGGAAGAAGGUUUUCGGAUUGUAAACCUCUGUCUUCGGUGACGAAACAAGACGGUAGCCGAGGAGGAAGCCACGGCUAACUACGUGCCAGCAGCCGCGGUAAUACGUAGGUGGCAAGCGUUGUCCGGAAUUACUGGGUGUAAAGGGAGCGUAGGCGGGAGUGCAAGUUGAAUGUGAAAACUAUGGGCUCAACCCAUAGUUGCGUUCAAAACUGCAUUUCUUGAGUGAAGUAGAGGUAAGCGGAAUUCCUAGUGUAGCGGUGAAAUGCGUAAAUAUUAGGAGGAACACCAGUGGCGAAGGCGGCUUACUGGGCUUUAACUGACGCUGAGGCUCGAAAGCGUGGGUAGCAAACAGGAUUAGAUACCC